rnacentral:rRNA from 1 species
UACGAAGGGGGCUAGCGUUGCUCGGAAUCACUGGGCGUAAAGGGUGCGUAGGCGGGUCUUUAAGUCAGGGGUGAAAUCCUGGAGCUCAACUCCAGAACUGCCUUUGAUACUGAGGAUCUUGAGUUCGGGAGAGGUGAGUGGAACUGCGAGUGUAGAGGUGAAAAUUCGUAGAUAUUCGGAAGAACACCAGUGGCGAAGGCGACUUACUGGACACAUAUUGACGCUGAGGUGCGAAAAGCGUGGGGGAGCAAACAGG